GACUUUAUAAAUUUGAACUCUAAUUGGUGUUGGUAUGGAAUUUUAGAUUGAGUCUUGUUUUCUAGGUUGAAAUUAGGAAUUUUUAAUAGAAGGUGUUCUAGACUUUAAGAUUUGAAGAACAAACCAGAUUAGUACCUGGUUAGACAAAAAUUAAAAAAGCAGGAGUAAAGUUGUAUUUAAACUGUAAGAAUAUUGGCAGGUCUUUAAAUUAUCUUUGGAGGUUGAGUAGUAAUUGAGAACCCUCAUUAACAGCUUUUGUUUUGGGCGCAUGUAUGAUCGUUUAUUUUAUGCUUAAGGUUUGUAAUUUUAGGUUUAUUCUACUGUAAAAAUAGAUAAAUACUUGGUUUAUACAGAAGAUUUAAUUUGACCUACACUAUAUUAUUUUGUGGAUACCUUUUUAGUAUUGAGGUUGAAAAUGUAAAAGACAGUAAGUUUUUCUUUAUGUAAAACUGAAGUUUAUUUGGGGGCGGUACAAAUCAUCCAUCAAUUGCCUUU
rnacentral:rRNA from 1 species